GACAGAGGGUGCAAGCGUUGUUCGGAAUUAUUGGGCGUAAAGGGCGCGUAGGCGGCCAUGCGUGUCUUCCGUGAAAUCCCUCGGCUUAACUGAGGACGUGCGGAAGAAACUGCAAGGCUCGAGUCCGGGAGAGGGGGGUGGAAUUCCCAGUGUAGCGGUGAAAUGCGUAGAUAUUGGGAGGAACACCGGUGGCGAAGGCGGCCCCCUGGACCGGUACUGACGCUGAGGCGCGAAAGCGUGGGUAGCAAACGGG
rnacentral:rRNA from 1 species